CCUACGGGGGGCAGCAGUGAGGAAUAUUGGUCAAUGGACGAGAGUCUGAACCAGCCAAGUAGCGUGAAGGAUGACUGCCCUAUGGGUUGUAAACUUCUUUUAUAUGGGAAUAAAACAGGGUAUGCAUACCCUCUUGUAUGUACCAUAUGAAUAAGGAUCGGCUAACGCCGUGCCAGCAGCCGCGGUAAUACGGAGGGUCCGAGCGUUAACCGGAUUUAUUGGGUUUAAAGGGAGCGUAGGUGGAUUGUUAAGUCAGUUGUGAAAGUUUGCGGCCCAACCGUAGAAUUGCAGUUGAAACUGGCAGUCUUGAGUACAGGAGAGGUGGGCGGAAUUCGUGGUGUAGCGGUGAAAUGCUUAGAUAUCACGAAGAACUCCGAUUGCGAAGGCAGCUUACUGGACUGCGACUGACACUGAUGCUCGAAAGUGUGGGUAUCAAACAGGAUUAGAUACCCCAGUAGUC
rnacentral:rRNA from 1 species